UACGGAAGGCAGCAGUGGGGAAUAUUGCACAAUGGGCGCAAGCCUGAUGCAGCCAUGCCGCGUGUAUGAAAAAGGCCUUCGGGUUGUAAAGUACUUUCAGUCGUGAGGAAGGUGUUAAGGUUAAUAACCUUAGCAAUUGACGUUAGCGACAGAAGAAGCACCGGCUAACUCCGUGCCAGCAGCCGCGGUAAUACGGAGGGUGCGAGCGUUAAUCGGAAUCACUGGGCGUAAAGGGCACGCAGGCGGUUAAUUAAGUUGGAUGUGAAAUCCCCGGGCUUAACCUGGGAAUGGCAUUCAAGACUGGUUAGCUAGAGCCUUGUAGAGGGGGUAGAAUUCCAUGUGUAGCGGUGAAAUGCGUAGAGAUGUGGAGGAUACCGGUGCGAAGGCGGCCCCUGGGACAAGACUGACGCUCAUGUGCGAAAGCGUGGGGAGCAAA
rnacentral:rRNA from 1 species